AGAAUCAACGCCGGCGGCGUGCCUAACACAUGCAAGUCGCACGAGAAAGGGUAGCAAUACCUGAGUACAGUGGCGCACGGGUGAGUAACACGUGAAUUAUCUACCUCCGAGUGGGGAAUAACUGAGAGAAAUCUUAGCUAAUACCGCAUAACACUUACGAGUCAAAGCAGCAAUGCGCUUGGAGAGGAGUUCGCGGCCGAUUAGUUAGUUGGCGGGGUAAUGGCCCACCAAGACGAUGAUCGGUA
rnacentral:rRNA from 1 species